AGAGAAAUAUCAAUGAUGAGAGAGAAUCAUUGAUUGGCUGCCUCCUGCACGCCUCCUAUUGGGGAUCAAGCCCGCAACCUGGGCCCGUGCCCUUGACCAGAAUUAAACCUGGCACCCUUAACUUCAGUCCGCAGGCCGAUCGAUCCACUGAGCCAAACCGGCCAGGGCUCUUCUUACUCUUUAUGGGGCUACUAGAAAGUUUAAAAUUACAUGGGGCACAUUCUAUAUUCCUAUUGGACAGCGCUGUUUCAAAGCAUUUGCACAAAGCGAUUCUUUAUCCUCCUGUCCUGCAAACUGUUUUUCAGUGCACAGCUCCCAAGCUAGCAGGUAGGUGCUCAGAGACUGAUGUUUCCUGGGAGGGGCUGUGCCAGGGGCCAUGUCACGGAGAAGCAGUGCUUGGUGCUGUGGCGGGUGAAGGAAGUUAGCCCAUGCUCUAGCCUCAGGCUCCACUCCAGAGAACAGAGACCCUCGGGGCACCUCUCCCUCUGGAUUUGCUGUCUUGCUCCCUGUGGUAUCUGGCAGAUGGGUGCCCGGGUGGGAGGGAGGAGGCUGUCACUUGCCGGGGGCUUCUUGCCAGGAACUGAAGAAACCCCAAAAGGAGAAAUGCCAACCUGAGAAGCAAACCCAGCCAUCUCAGGAGUCCCGUCAGGAGCCAGGGCCAUCACAGGUACGAUCGCCACCACCUACACAGCCACAGCCGCCCCCGCCAAAGCCAGCAGAGCAGCCAGAGCCUCCGCCACCACCACCGCCACCACCGCCACCACCACAGACACAGCCACCGCCUCCACCACCACCACCACCACAGCCACAGCCACCGCCUCCAUGUCAACCACGGCAACAAAAUGCCCAAGACCCUCUUACCCAGCUCAGUUCCAAGCACAAACUCCAGGAUUCCCAAAAGCCUGGCCCCCAGCUUGACUCCAUGGGGGCCCAUCAAACUAAAGGACAAUCCAGCUACUUUAAGGAUAAACUCCAAGGAGGGCAGAAAAUUGCUCUAGACCCCGGUUUCAGGAAACCAGACCAACCCUGCCCAACUACAUACACAUUGAAGCCACGCUUCACGUCAAUGGAUUACAUACAGCAGUGGUGAUCCACUGACAGACCCCAAGGCCCAACUGGCCAUCAGUAAACAACAGAUGAGCAACUCCACCUUCUCACCACUCAGCAAUGUCUGCAUUCCAAAGGCCAUGCCCUUCUGGUCCAUUCCAGAACAGGAGGCUAGCCCAGAAUAAAAUGACUUUUUCCUGCAGACUUGAAACUGGUCAGCUCUGUGAGACUAUGAGGGGAAAGAGGCAGGAAGACCCAUGAGGGGGAGUAAAAAACACCCAUGAGGGGAUGGAGAGGGUGCGAAAAGAAAGUGGAAAGCAAUUGCAUGCUUCUCUAGGCAAAGCCAGUGGGAGAACUGGCCUUAUACUCCCAAGUCUCCAACUCCAGCCUUUUCUUUAAGAAAAAAAAAAAAAGUUUUUGUGUGUGUUUUUUUCAGAGAGAGGAAGAGAGAAACAUCAGUGAGAAGCAUUGAUAGACUGCUUCCUGUACGUCCCCUACUGGGGAUUGAGCAGGCAACCUGGGCAUGUGCCCUGACCAGGAAUCAAACCGUGACCUCCUGGUUCACAGGUCAACGCUCAACCACGGAGCCACACUGGCCGGGCUGGCCCUUUUCUUUAGCAAUGAUAGUUCUGUUGGGGCUUCAGGUUUAUGACUCUCACAGGAGCCAUCACCCCCUUCCUCCUAGCUGAUGCUUACUGAGAUACAGCUGGGGAAGGAGGGACUGCCGCCCACCAAGCAGGCCUGGGGCAGCAGUGGGAAGAGGUGGCAGACAGGGAAGGACCGCCCCAGUCCAGUGUAAUUCCUGGCCCACAGUGGGCACCCAGCUGUUGAAUGGUCGAUGAGAAGCAGGAAUAGAGAGACAGAGCUCAGAGUGAAGGAGAGCUAUAGCCUCAGGUACAGCACACCGGGCCCUGGAAGGGGAGGGGGAUUAGCCUCUUCCUUCCUGGGUGUCAGCCUUUCCAAGGAGCAGAGACAGUCAAGAGGCCCCAAAGGCCCAGGAGUCCCCCUGACCACUUCCUCAAGCUGACACCAGGGUCCUCCAGCCCGGCCCCCUCCCCCCUGGGACCAGGGAGGGGGGUGCCUGGGUCUUGUUGUGGCCCACACAGCAUCGCCUUUGUCAGACUGAAGCCCCUCAGUGCAGUGUUUCUCGAGGGGAGCAGCUUGGGGGGGGGGCGUAGGGGGGGACACAGAAUAGGACUAAAGUUGGAAGGGGCCUUAGAGAUACGCGGUGAGAAAGGGAGCGAGCCAUCUCUCAGAAGCCAGAGGCAGGA